rnacentral:tRNA from 1 species
CUUAGCUCAGUCGGAUAGAGCAACGGCCUUCUAAGCCGUGGGUCGCAGGUUCGAAUCCUGCAG